rnacentral:rRNA from 1 species
AUUGAACGCUGGCGGCGUGCUUAACACAUGCAAGUCGAUCGGUAACGCGGGGGCAACCCUGGCGACGAGAGGCGGACGGGUGAGGAACGCUUGGGAAUCUGCCUAUCAGCGGGGGACAACACGGGGAAACUCGUGCUAAUACCGCAUACGCUCUACGGGGGAAAGCCGGGGACCGCAAGGCCUGGCACUGAUAGAUGAGCCCAAGUCGGAUUAGCUACUUGGCGGGGUAAAGGCCCACCAAGGCGACGAUCAGUAGCUGGGCUGAGAGGACGAGGAGACAGACUGGAACUGAGGCACGGGCCAGACUCCUACGGGAGGCAGCAGGGGGGAAUAUUGGACAAUGGGGGCAACCCUGAUCCAGCGACGCCGCGUGGGUGAAGAAGGCCUGCGGGUUGUAAAGCCCUUUCGGUAGGGACGAAAGCUCUCGACCUAACACGUCGGGAGGUUGACUUAACCUACAAAAGAAGCACCGGCUAACUCUGUGCCAGCCGCCGCGGUAAUAC